AUUACAUCAUCCUAUUAUACUAGCAUCAAACAGUUAGAAAAAUCAUUAAUCAACUUAGGUUUUGGAUCAAUUCCAAGAACUAAAAUGCAACAGAAUGAUACUAUCAGAACUAAUAUGCAACACAUACAAACCUAAAAUAACCACAUAAAAACACGUUGAUAAAAUCAAAAUGCAAUUAAAAAAAAUGCUACAGAAC